GCAUAGCUCAGUUGGUUAAAGAGCGUGGUGCUGAUAACACUAAGAUUGCAGGUUCGAUCCCCGUAUGAGACA